rnacentral:misc_RNA from 1 species
GGUAGGGGGCGCAGUACAACCAUUUUUCUCUGCUAACUUGCAGGUGCAACACAGGCACAUGACACGCAAUGCUGCAUGUAUGAAUAUGCAAGGUCAAUCAGGCCAAGAGUUCUUUUGGCUUCAUCCCAGUGGCAGGAAUACUUCAUUUGACCUUGCACUUUUCUUUUGAACAACAUGUGUUGGAAUUCCUAUUAUGAAGUCAAGAUUGAUGCUUGAAGGUCAUAAACCAGUAGUUUGUAAAUGUGCUGACCAUAUCAGCAGCGAGUUUUCACUUCUGCAUGACUUCAAAUAUUGCUCAAUACACCUCUCUCUCUCUAUGUUGUAUCAAUGAUAUAAUAAUCAUUACAUAGUUUAAAUAAACGAGUUUAAUUGGUGGAAGAGAUGGAAAUCCUUUUCCUGUUAGGAGUGGUUUCUUCUCUGUUUUGAAUUUCAAUUGAAGUUUAUUGAUUUAACUGACAUGGAAUUCUAAUGUAAAAGGGGAUAUGAU